rnacentral:tRNA from 1 species
GUCCCUGUAGCUUAACGGAUAAAGCGCAGGCCUCCGGAGCCUGAAAUCCGCGUUCGAUUCGCGGCAGGGGCA